rnacentral:lncRNA from 1 species
CAGGAGACGGAGGUUGCAGUGAGCCAAGAUAGCGCCACCGCUCUUCAGCCUGGGUGACAGAGCAAGACUCCAUCUCAAAAAAAAAAAAAAAAGGCUAGGGAAAGCUCUGUAUUAUGAAAGUAUAUCCAAAAUAUAUCGACUAAAAAUAAAACACAACAUUAUCUAUACAUUUCAUAGUGAAAAGGCUUUUUAAAAAAGUAUGAUCUCGUUUCUAUUAAUAAAAAAAUAUACAUACAUACACACAUGAACAUAAUAUAUAGCACUGAAGAAAUCUAGAUGUGUAUGAAGUAUUACCAGUGGUUAAUUUUCAAGGAUAGUAUAAUGAGAAACUACCCAUAAAUGUCUGUAACGUUUGGAUUUUGUAUAACCAAGUGUUACUUUAGUAAUCAGUAGAAAUCCAAAGACCUUUUUACAAAUAAGGUAAACAUAAUUUCAUAGACUCAGACAAGUAGAGGGGCUGGUGUGAAAAAGGCAAAGUAGCUGGGAAGUAUAGAGUGAGGGGUCCAUUUAGGCUGGAUUGUAAAGGGGAUAUGUUGGGGAGUUAAAUGUUAAAAGUGCUGGAAAAAUAUGUUGAGGAUUGUAUUGUGACCAGGCCUUAAAUGUGGAAUCAAGAAGUUUACACUUCAAUUGGUAGGCAGAGGGGGAGUCAGCUGAAACUUUUGAGCAAGAAAGUGGCAUGCCCAAAGUUUUCCUUGAAGAAAAUCAGUCUGGGAGUAGAAUGGUAGGUAGCUGGGAACAAACUGAAAAUAGGAACACUAAGUAGAGGGCUGUUGCGGUAGUUCAGAUUUAGGAGUAACGAGCGUGUGCCACAUGGUUGUAGGAAUUAGAGAAGCAAGGCUAACAGACAUAAGAGCAAAUACGGAGACUAGUGGAGAGGGGUGAGACAAGAAUGCUUAAUGUCUGAGCACCUGGGAGGAUAUUUGUGUCCUUGCUGGAGAAAUACAAUGACACAAUAAAGAUUUCAUUGGGGGGAGAAUUCGCUCCAGUCCGCCUUGCCAGACUGAUUUCUGUAAUAAUUGCUUGGUGUAUUAAUGGGUGCUCAGUAUAUUGAUGGAAUUUACUUAAGCUUAUGUUAUUUAAGCUUUAAUUAUGUGCUCACCAUUCCUCGAAUAUAACAUGCAUGUUGACAGGACAUCAGUAAUACCAGUGCUAUGAUGGAUGAAGAUGAUAGCAACUACUAUUUAUUAACACUUUUUUUUGAGAUGGAGUGUUGCUCUGUCACCCAGGCUGGAGUGCAGUGGCACGAUCUCGGCUCACUGCAACCUCCACCUCCUGGGUUCAAGCGAUUCUUCUGCCUCAGCCUCCCCACUAGCUGUGAUUACAGGCGCUCGCCACCACGCCUGGCUGAUUUUUGUAUUUUUAGUAGAGACGGAGUCUUAACCAUGUUGGCCAGGUUGGUCUCGAACUCCUGACGUUAAAUAAUCCACCCACCUCAGCCUCCUAAAGUGCUGAGAUUACAGGCGCAAGCCACCGCACCCGGCUAUGUAACACUUUUUAUCUGACCAACUUUUUCUCACAUGUCCAAGACCUUCUAGAUAAUACAUAGCAGAACUGAGACUGGAACGAGUCUGUCUGAAUCCAAGCCUGAUUCUUUAACUGUCAUACUGUGCUACCUCCCAGGUCACUGGAGGUGUGGAUCUGGAGCUCAGAUUAGACAUACACUUAAGUAAAUUUGUUGUUAGUUGCAUUCUAGCUGCCUGACUAGUAAUCAUUUGUUUGGAUAAUCAGUAGUGGUCUAUUACUGAUCAUUGCACCCCACACAUUUAGCUUUGAGCAUAGUAAAACUGCCCACCUGAGACCUUCUAGGGAGUUAGUUUUAUGGAUAAUUGAGGUUAAUGAUUACAAUGUUGAAAUUUACUUUUUUGUUCCCUCCCGAGAUGGAGUCUUGCUCUGUCGCCCAGAGCUGGAGUGCAGUGGCGCGAUCUCGGCUCACUGCAACCUCCGCCUCCUGGGUUCACGCGAUUCUCCUGCCUCAGCCUCCCAAGUAGCUGGGAUUACAGGCACUCACCAUCAUGCCCGGCUCAUUUUUGUAUUUUUGUAGAGAUGGGGUUUCACCGUGUUGGGCAGGCUGGUCUUGAACUCCU